AAAACAUCAUUUUUAUCUUAUUGUGAAGAUGUUUCCUCUGAAGGAAGUGAUUUGAAGGUGCGUUUGAGUCAGACUGACGAAACGCGGCCAACAAGCGCCUGACGCACCUGCCCGAAGCCACAACUCACACCUGAUCCAGGAACAAAAUGACUUCUGUCUGCAGAAUGGACCGAACUGUCAGGUGAUGGACUGGCUGGAAAUGAAAAAGGCCCCAAGCUGCAGC